GACAGAGGGUGCAAGUGCUAUCCGGAAUCACUGGGCGUAAAGCGUCUGUAGGUGGUCCAAUAAGUCAACUGUUAAAUCUUGGGGCUCAACCUCAAAAUCGCAGUCGAAACUAUUAGACUAGAGUAUAGUAGGGGUAAAGGGAAUUUCCAGUGGAGCGGUGAAAUGCGUAGAUAUUGGAAAGAACACCGAUGGCGAAGGCACUUUACUGGGCUAUUACUAACAAUCAGAGACGAAAGCUAGGGUAGCAAAUGGG
rnacentral:rRNA from 1 species